AAGAUGAUAUGAACUGCCUGUAACUGCAGAGAAAGAUGAUUGCCUGUAACCUUCAGCAAGACAAUUGUAUGCACCAAAAUGGAAGGAUACUUUGAUUUCUACUAUGGACGAAUGGUUGCAGAAGAAUCCCCUUGAAUGUUUCAAGAAAGUGCAGUAAAAUGAUCAAAACUGCUCGUUUCCGGUGCACAGCCUCAUCUUCUUUCCAGCAUGGUGGGGACGGGAUUGCUGACGCCGUCAUGAAGGUAGCAAAGGCAGGUUAAGGGACUUCUCCAAAAGUCUGCAGGAAGGAUAUUGUUGGUACAGCUGAUGUAGGAACUGCUCCGUGGGCAAAAACAGUGAGUGGGUAAGGACAAUAUCAUCUAGGAGGAUAUCUAAGAAAAGGCAAAAAAUGGGAAGAAAAAAAGAGAUUACAGGGCAGCCCAGCUCAGAAUACAAGGCACUACCAAUGACCAAGGAGAUGUCAGAUGAAGCAAGUAUCAAAAUGUAUAUACCAUAUUUUUGAAGAUCAAAGUUCAUACACCCUGAAUACAUCCCAGAAUUUCAACAUUUAUCCAUGUACCUGCAACAUUUCUUUACGACAUCACCGCACUCCACCCAGCUCAGUCCCAAGAUUCGGCAGGGGAAGUGACUGCUUUAUUUUAAAGCAAUUCUAGAAUAAUUCCACUUUGAUCAGAACUGCAGCAGAGGAAAAUAAGCUACACUAUUCCUUUUGAUGAAAGGAAAACAACUGGGAGGAGCAGGGUUUUGGUGUGGAAAACAGCUUGUUGGAAAGUUUCUGCCAUUACAGGAAAAAAGUAACAGGGGAGAAUAAUAAGAGAGAAAAAUUGUGGCAAAGGAAACAGCCCCCAGAAAAAGGAUUGGGAGAAUAAAAUGUCUUCCUUCUGUUACAUCUUAAUUUCAGAGUCCUUCGUAAUUGCAUGCAAAUAAGUAAAAGAAAUUAAGAACAUUGAGAAAUGCACCUUGCCUCCUACAUCACGUUUUGUUUGAUGUUCAGCCAAGAAAAAACAAAUCAUUUUAGUGUACAAAUAACAUUAGUGCCCAAAGCUUUAUAAGCAUCCAUCCCUUAAACUUUUCAAUUAACAUGAACCAGCACUUCACUUCCACAAGAUUAGGGGUUGAAAGCAGUCUCUGUCUCUGCAUCUUGCUUCCUUUCAGCACCUAGCAGAUUUGGCUCUUGAAGGAGAAGAGGGAGAGAGAGGAAAUUCAUUUGAAAAUGAAGAUCUAUUCAUAACUAAUGGAUUUAUGUUACAAAAAGAAGCGGCAAGCUGUUUCUAUCUCCUCUUUAAGCAGGGAAUACAAUUUUUGCAUGGUCAGGGGACUCGCAUAUUUCUAGGGAUGAUGGUCAAAGUUGAUCCUCCCCUCCAAAAACAAUCAGAUGGUCUCACAAGGGCCCUAAGCUCUUAGGUUGCCCACUCCUCUCUUUAAAAUUCUGAGAAAGUGCAUAAUAAUUGAAAAA